rnacentral:rRNA from 1 species
CCCUUAGAUGUCCUGGGCCGCACGCGCGCUACACUGACAUGUUCAACAAGCCUCCUAGUUCGACAGGAUUUGGGAAAUCUUUGAACGCAUGUCGUGAUAGGGAUAGAUCAUUGCAAUUAUUGAUCUUGAACGAGGAAUUCAUAGUAAACGCGAGUCAUCAGCUCGCAUUGAUUACGUCCCUGCCCUUUGUACACACCGCCCGUCGCACCUACCGAUUGAAUGUUUCGGUGAAGAUUCCGGAUAGGACUUUUUUGAUUUAUUUCAAUUUUGUCUUAAAAGCUAUCUAAACCUCAACAUUUAGAGGAAGGUGAAGUCGUAACA